rnacentral:rRNA from 1 species
CGUGCCUAUAAUGCAGUCGAGCGCAGGAAGCAAGCUGAUCCCCUUCGGGGGUGACGCUUGUGGAAUGAGCGGCGGACGGGUGAGUAACACGUGGGCAACCUGCCUGUAAGACUGGGAUAACCCCGGGAAACCGGGGCUAAUACCGGAUAAUACUUUCUUUUGCAUAAAGGAAAGUUGAAAGGCGGCUUCGGCUGUCACUUACAGAUGGGCCCGCGGCGCAUUAGCUAGUUGGUGAGGUAACGGCUCACCAAGGCGACGAUGCGUAGCCGACCUGAGAGGGUGAUCGGCCACACUGGGACUGAGACACGGCCCAGACUCCUACGGGAGGCAGCAGUAGGGAAUCUUCCGCAAUGGACGAAAGUCUGACGGAGCAACGCCGCGUGAGUGAUGAAGGUUUUCGGAUCGUAAAACUCUGUUGUUAGGGAAGAACAAGUUGGGUAGUAACUGACCCAACCUUGACGGUACCUAACCAGAAAGCCACGGCUAACUACGUGCCAGCAGCCGCGGUAAUACGUAGGUGGCAAGCGUUGUCCGGAAUUAUUGGGCGUAAAGCGCUCGCAGGCGGUCCUUUAAGUCUGAUGUGAAAUCUCGCGGCUCAACCGCGAACGGUCAUUGGAAACUGGAGGACUUGAGUACAGAAGAGGAGAGUGGAAUUCCACGUGUAGCGGUGAAAUGCGUAGAGAUGUGGAGGAACACCAGUGGCGAAGGCGACUCUCUGGUCUGUAACUGACGCUGAGGAGCGAAAGCGUGGGGAGCGAACAGGAUUAGAUACCCUGGUAGUCCACGCCGUAAACGAUGAGUGCUAGGUGUUAGGGGGUUUCCGCCCCUUAGUGCUGAAGUUAACGCAUUAAGCACUCCGCCUGGGGAGUACGGCCGCAAGGCUGAAACUCAAAAGAAUUGACGGGGGCCCGCACAAGCGGUGGAGCAUGUGGUUUAAUUCGAAGCAACGCGAAGAACCUUACCAGGUCUUGACUCCUCUGCUAUUCCUAGAGAAAGAAGUUCCCUUCGGGGACAAAGUGACAGGGGGUGCAUGGUUGUCCUCAACUCCUGUCCUGAAAUGUUGGGUUAAUUCCCGCACAAACCCACCCUUGAUU